UAGGGAAUUUUCGUCAAUGGGGGGAACCCUGAACGAGCAAUGCCGCGUGUGUGAAGAAGGUCUUCGGAUCGUAAAGCACUGUUGUAAGUGAAGAAUGCCACAUAGAGGAAAUGCUAUGUGGGUGACGGUAGCUUACCAGAAAGCCACGGCUAACUACGUGCCAGCAGCCGCGGUAAUACGUAGGUGGCAAGCGUUAUCCGGAAUCAUUGGGCGUAAAGGGUGCGUAGGUGGCACGAUAAGUCUGAAGUAAAAGGCAACAGCUCAACUGUUGUAUGCUUUGGAAACUGUCGAGCUAGAGUGCAGAAGAGGGCGAUGGAAUUCCAUGUGUAGCGGUAAAAUGCGUAGAUAUAUGGAGGAACACCAGUGGCGAAGGCGGUCGCCUGGUCUGUAACUGACACUGAUGCACGAAAGCGUGGGGAGCAAAUAGGAUUAGAUACCC
rnacentral:rRNA from 1 species